AUUGAACGCUGGCGGAAUGCUUUACACAUGCAAGUCGAACGGUAGAGGGGGCAACCCCUCGAGAGUGGCGAACGGGUGAGUAAUAUAUCGGAACGUGCCCAGUCGUGGGGGAUAACGUAGCGAAAGUUACGCUAAUACCGCAUACGAUCUAAGGAUGAAAGCGGGGGAUCGCAAGACCUCGCGCGAUUGGAGAGGCCGAUUUCAGAUUAGGUAGUUGGUGGGGUAAAGGCUCACCAAGCCAACGAUCUGUAGCUGGUCUGAGAGGACGACCAGCCACACUGGAACUGAGACACGGUCCAGGCUCCUACGGGAGGCAGCAGUGGGGAAUUUUGGACAAUGGACGCAAGUCUGAUCCAGCCAUUCCGCGUGCAGGAUGAAGGCCCUCGGGUUGUAAACUGCUUUUGUACGGAACGAAAAGGUCUCUCUUAAUACGGGGGGCUCAUGACGGUACCGUAAGAAUAAGCACCGGCUAACUACGUGCCAGCCGCCGCGGUAA
rnacentral:rRNA from 1 species